GGAAUAUUAAGGGUCCAUUCCCAUUACAGAAUCCCAAAUGUUCUUUUCCUCUCUACCAUUCUCCCGAUCCCUCCUCUCCUUUCUCCAUCGAGAUGUCCACUGCCACCGUCGUCUCAGCCGUUCCUCGUCGGUCCGUUUUAGUUUGAUUGCUGGUACUUUCUUGUUUAAAUCGGGAAAAUGGGUUUAUUCUCAAGCAUUUGAAUUUUGAGGAAGAGAAAAAUGUAGCUAAUUAGAAAUUUCUUUUACCGUUCAUGCGUAAUACUAAGGGUUCAUUCUCAUAAGAGCAUCUGAAUCGUUCUUUUCCCUCCAUUCUUUUCCUUUCACUCGGCUGUGAAAGCCACAAUGAAUCCUACGAUUCUCAUCACAAACCUGAAUCAUGUUUCAAGCCCUAAUUUCUGAUCGAAGGUGGGCUCGUUUGAUUUGUCCAUUUGGGUCUGGACAUAAAUGUUCUUCUCCAGGCAGUACCAGCUUAUUAUAUGCACACAAGGCAGUAAUCCCAGCUCCCAAACGGGUCCAUUCUCAUAAGAGCAUCUGAAUCGUUCUUUUCCCUCCAUUCUUUUCCUUUCACUCGGCUGUGAAACCCACAAUGAAUCCUACGAUUCUCAUCACAAACCUGAAUCAUGUUUCAAGCCCUAAUUUCUGAUCGAAGGUGGGCUCGUUUGAUUUGUCCAUUUGGGUCUGGACAUAAAUGUUCUUCUCCAGGCAGUACCAGCUUAUUAUAUGCACACAAGGCAGUAAUCCCAGCUCCCAAACGAAAAUUGAUUGUGCAGUGAAAGAGAGAAGAAAUAUUUUGGAAGCUUUUAAACUCAAUGUGGAAUAUGGACUUCUUUUAGUUUAUUUAUUGGGCAAGAAAGAAUAAGUUGUUGCUUGAUAAUAAGGGUUUAGGGUAUUGAUUAGAAAUUGAAGGGGAUGACAAUGGAGGUAAAAAGGAGGAAGAGCUUGCAGACAAUGUUGAAGAAGCUGGAAAUGCACUUCUUUCCGUCCAGAUCCAUCUUCUGUUUAUCAACUUCUACUUUUGCUUGGUGUAAUUGUAAACUCAAUCCUUUAAUUCAUUAUUUUGUAUAUAUUCUUACUCUUAUCUUCAUACUGGAGUCAAGCUUUUGAUCUUUGUUUAUUA